GGUCCCAUAACUCAGUUGGUUAGAGUGUCGUACUAAUAGUAUACUACCAAGUAUUUACAUUGGUCAAUGCGAAAGUCGUGAGUUCAAGCCUCACUGGGACCA